rnacentral:lncRNA from 1 species
CUCAGCGGCUGCACCUUCGCACCCCGGGCUCCCCGACACCCCCCCACCCGCACCCCACCCACCGCACCCCACCCCAGCCCCUACCUUCUGGAUCCGGAGCUGCGCCGCCGACGCCUUCUUGCUGCUGCCCUUGGUGCCGCCGGCCGACUCCUCCUCCUUCUUCUGCUGCUUCAGCGAGAACAGCUUGAUCAUCCUGUCGCCGCCGCCGCCGCCGCCGCCGCCGCGGGGCCCGGGACCCCGGCCACCCGGCCCCCCCGGCCGCCUCCUGCGCCGCUUCCGCUCCUCGGACCCGCUGCCGCGGCCUCCCGCUCCUCCUCCUCCUCCUCCUCUUCUUCUUCUUCUUCCUCCGCUGCCGCCGCCGCCGCCCGCCCGGCCUGCCUGCCGCGCUGCUCCGCGCCCACCGCACGGCCCGCCUCGGCUCCCGUAGUCCGGCUCUCGGCCUGGCUCAGCGCCUCGGGUGCGUUCGGAGGCGCUCGGGAGGACUCGGCUCUCGUCGGCCCCGCCCCUGCUCUCGGGCGCCCGCCCCGCCCCCACCCCCGCGCCCUCCUCCUCCUCCUCCUCCUGCUCCUGCUCCUCCUCCUCCUCCUCCUCCCCGUUCCCCUCUUCCGCUCAGGUCUUGCGAGAGGGCCCCCGCUGCGGCCGCUUCCCUUCCCGGCUCCGCCGCUCCGCUCUCCCGCCUGCUUGCUCCCUCCCUCCCUCUGCGAGGAGGCUGCGGUGAGGUGGGAGGCGGAGGAGGCGGCAGCCGCGCUGGCGGCGGCAGGGUUACCGGUGGAGGCUCAGCUCCCGCGGCAGGCGCGGCUUCGGUGCGGAGGUCCGCAACGGCCUUCGGGCGCCCCCCCCCGCCGCUUCGGCACUUUCCGCCGCCUGCCUGCCCCCCGCUUCGGUUCUUCCUGGUCCCCCCCUCCCCCGGCUGCGGGCUGCGCCUGCGCGGCCCCCUCCCUCCCCUCCGUUGGCUCCUCGGUUGGGGUUCGGCCUUCUUCGGUUGCUCCUCGGUUGGGUUUCGGCCUUCUUCGGUUGCUCCUCGGUUGGGGUUCGGCCUUCUUCGGUUGA